rnacentral:rRNA from 1 species
CAGUCGCCGCGGUAAUACGGAGGGAGCUAGCGUUGUUCGGAAUUACUGGGCGUAAAGCGCACGUAGGCGGUUAUUCAAGUCAGAGGUGAAAGCCCGGGGCUCAACCCCGGAACUGCCUUUGAAACUAGAUGACUAGAAUCUUGGAGAGGUCAGUGGAAUUCCGAGUGUAGAGGUGAAAUUCGUAGAUAUUCGGAAGAACACCAGUGGCGAAGGCGACUGACUGGACAAGUAUUGACGCUGAGGUGCGAAAGCGUGGGGAGCAAACAGGAUUAGAGACCCCCGUAGUCCCUGUCUCUUAUAC